AUGGUACAGUCACUUAACCUCAGGUGUCUACAGCCUGUCAUGACAAGAAAAGAUAAAAUUGGUGCCAGUUUUGCCUUCAUAAAUCUGACUAAAAACUACUGUUCUCCAGUAACUCCUGUACCAACACAGCAGCUGAUCCAUAACAACAUUGUGACUUGGAGCCUCCAAAAUUUGAAUAAAUUCCCUAGAGAAGGAUCUGUGCAGUGCUGGAAAUUGGUACAGUUAGCAGGAAAAGUGGGAGUCCACGGGGUAGGUAAGAGAAGAGGAAUCUGUCUUUAAUCUUAUUUUGGACUAAACAAUAGGUGAAGAGGACAUAGAGCCUCUCAUAACUCUUUCUCUCUUGCACAAAUGGAGCAAUGACACGGGCAGCCUCACUAUGCCAAGCACUCCAGCAAAGCUCCUCGGCACACACUCAGAUCUAGUUUCUGAGGCAGAUGAAAGCUACAUCUGUCUCCUGAACUUUGCUGGAUCAUAAACAAAAUAUCCAGCUCCUUCAAGCAAUUACUGAAACAUUAAGUAUAUUUUGGAAAAUGUUUGAAAGGAAUCUCAGAAAACUUUAAAAAGUGGAUUAGUAAAGCAGUAAAUGCUUGCAUGUUUAAUCAUUUUUUUUUUGGUACAGAAGCCUAAGAGUGAAAUUAUGGUCACCUAUACCUUUAAUAUCCAUAUCUGAAUCUGCAUUUUGACAUUUUUCCUUGAUACAUGUCUAUUCUAAACCUGCCUAGAGGAAAAGAGAAAAACAUAAAUGGAAGAACAAGACUGGGGAAAAAAAAAAAAAAAGUCAUGCAUAGUUCUGCAAACUAUUCUCCACGCUUGGCACUAGUUUUAAGCAAAGGUGUCAGUUCUCAUUUCUUAUAAAUCGGUUCACCUAUUCCUGCUUGGGAGGUAACUGCUCAGAGUUCUCAUGUGGCUGCUCUCCUAGGAGAAUCCAGUUUCUCAGUUUCAACAUGCCCAAGGCGUCUGCUUUCCUUACCAACAAGACACAAUCUCUGUCACUGACCUCAGAGGAAUUAUCAGUACAUUUGACAACAGUGAUGUUCAACUCUGAAUAUAGCUAUCAUAUCACUAAAAAUAACAUGGCAGCUUACCAGAAAAUUUGAGAAAGAAGGACUUUGAAAGUUUCAUUUAUGUGAAAAAAUAUAUAUAUAAUUAUUUUAAUAUGAUUACCAUUUUAAGAGAUGUUUUUUUUUUUUAAGACAGAAAAUGGCCAGUUGGUCACAGUGAACUCUGCUUGGGGAUGUCAAGAAAAUACUGCAGAAAUGAUUGCUGGCAGUGCUUUACAUCAAUUACAGACAAACUAGUAAAGAAUUUGAAACUGUUGUUCAGAAAAGAAAAAAAAAAAAGUUGAUCUCAGCAAGAAAUGACAUUUUGAAUAACAUACAUAUUUUUUUUUCUAUUCUGAAAAAACUUUCAGAGAUUUCUGUACUAGACUUAUUUUAAUGACAUUUCCCUCUUUGAAGAUUGUGCUGCAGGCUUCAACAAUCCUAGGAACUAGGCUCUGGAUCAUUUUAAGUUAUAUUAAAACUAUGACAAUCAAAUUGAAGCAUAGACAAAUAUCUGCAAAUAUUCAUUGUGCUGUUAGGGUUCUUUUGAAUGUUUACUAAAAACAAAAAUCCAAUGCUAAUAUUACAGAACACAAACCAUGUGUUUUCUGUACAUAUCUCUAUUUUAAUAAAAUAACUGGUAAGAAAAGUGUAAAACA
rnacentral:lncRNA from 1 species